AUUUUUGGCAAAGGAACUGUACAUGGCAACAGAUACAAGAUCUCCUUUGGAGCUGGAACAAAGCUGUUUGUUCAAUCUAAAGAUAAACGGGAGCCGUCAAUUUACAAAAUUCCGUCAGAUGAUGAACAAGAUUACUGCCUGGCCACGCGCUUUACAGUUCACAAUACUACCAAUGGCACUUGGUCAACUAACGAAUACAAAGAAGAUGCAGUUCGGUUUGAAGGCGAGGGAUAUUACAGCAGGCUUUUACGGAAUAUCAAGAACUGUCCUGAAAAUGCGACCAUGUGUGAUAAUAGUAAGAGUGAAGAUGGGGGUUUCAAAUCAGAUGCCAAGACCAACUUUUUGGGACUGAGCAUCUUUUGGUUGAGGGUUCUCUUCUUGAAGACCAUUGUGUUCAAUAUCUUGAUGACGCUGAAAGUCUGGAUGAGCUAGUGCAUUUUGAAAUUGGUGACACAAUCCCAAAUUGGAAGACCUGGAUGAAUAUUGUGCUGCCUAUGUGAAGAAAGUGGAAUGUUCUGCAUAACAUGACAACAUGGUUGCUGAAAUGCAAUAUUAUACAAUUCUUUGUUCAUUUAAGAAAUAGUGCUUUCCUUUUUAUCUGAUUAAAAAUAUACUUACUAUUCAAUAGAAUUCAAUUUUAUUUCCAUAAUACUUUUUAUUUACACUUUGAACAAUAGACUUUUUCACAAUGUACCACUCAAAUCUAGACCUGUUUACUUUUGACUGUUUGUUAAAUCUGAAUUCUACUUUCAUUUGCCUGCACGUUAUGUCUGUUUUUUCUGUUUAUUAUUAUUUUUUACUCAGUGUUACUAAUCCUCUCUUUUUUUCUUCAUCUAUCAUUUAUCAUUUAUAUUCCCAUAUUGGCUCUUUCCGCAUAGGUAUCUCACUGAAAUCAUUAACAGAAUAUGCUAAGAUGCAUGCACAUGCAUAUACAAUGUAUGUGUUUUUAUAUGUAUAGAUCAUUGUUCAUUUAUAUUUAGGUACUGUCUUUUGGCAGAUCAAAAUAAAUGAUAAUUAUAUGAAAAAAGU